GGAGCGGUAGCUCAGUGGCAGAGACCCCGUUUGGGGUGGUCGCGGGUUCGAGUCCCGUCCGCUCAC
rfam:Streptomyces sp. WM6378 P402contig29.1, whole genome shotgun sequence.